UACGUAGGGAGCAAGCGUUGUUCGGAUUUACUGGGCGUAAAGGGCGCGUAGGCGGCCUGUCAAGUCAAUUGUGAAAUCUCCGGGCUUAACUCGGAACGGUCAAUUGAUACUGUCAGGCUAGAGUGCAGAAAGGGCAAUCGGAAUUCUUGGUGUAGCGGUGAAAUGCGUAGAUAUCAAGGGGAACACCUGAGGCGAAGGCGGGUUGCUAGGCUGACACUGACGCUGAGGCGCGAAAGCCAGGGGAGCAAACGGG
rnacentral:rRNA from 1 species